rnacentral:rRNA from 1 species
UACGUAGGGGGCAAGCGUUGUCCGGAUUUAUUGGGCGUAAAGCGCGCGUAGGCGGCGCGGUAUGUCGUGCGUGAAAUCUCCCGGCUUAACUGGGAGGGGCCGUGCGAAACUGCCGGGCUUGAGGUCGGAAGGGGAAAGUGGAAUUCCGGGUGUAGUGGUGGAAUACGUAGAUAUCCGGAGGAACACCAGCGGCGAAGGCGACUACCUGGCCUGUUCUUGACGCUGAGGCGCGAAAGCUAGGGGAGCAAACGGG